GAUGAACGCUGGCGGCGUGCUUAACACAUGCAAGUCGAACGGGAAUUACUUUAUUGAAACUUCGGUCGAUUUAAUUUAAUUCUAGUGGCGGACGGGUGAGUAACGCGUGGGUAACCUGCCUUGUACAGGGGGAUAACAGUCAGAAAUGACUGCUAAUACCGCAUAAGCGCACAGGACCGCAUGGUCCGGUGUGAAAAACUCCGGUGGUAUAAGAUGGACCCGCGUUGGAUUAGCUUGUUGGUGGGGUAACGGCCCACCAAGGCGACGAUCCAUAGCCGGCCUGAGAGGGUGAACGGCCACAUUGGGACUGAGACACGGCCCAGACUCCUACGGGAGGCAGCAGUGGGGAAUAUUGCACAAUGGGGGAAACCCUGAUGCAGCGACGCCGCGUGAAGGAAGAAGUAUCUCGGUAUGUAAACUUCUAUCAGCAGGGAAGAAAAUGACGGUACCUGACUAAGAAGCC
rnacentral:rRNA from 1 species